AUUUCACACUAUAAUGCUUUAUCAAACUUGUUUAUGUUGGGACCGUUGCCGGGCUUCCUGGACUGGUUUUGGCUUUGCUUGUCCUGUAUGGAAAGUAACACUGUUUGGAGACGAUGAACACGCGUUGCAUUAUCUUGGAACAUGCAGUUUGUGUUACUGGUUUGUCAAAUGUUGAGUAUGAGCGGAAGAGCAGAGGAGGAAGUAAGAAAUGCAGAGAGGUCACUCCAAUUGAUGGGCGAAUCAGUCUUGCAACUGGGCCCAGGUACUAUUGCUGUAUUAUCUAUGCAGCCCUCUCAAUUUUCAUUCAAUGAUUUAAUUGAUCUUUUGAUAUGUACAUGUGACGACUUAUAUUUCUGCUUGAUAUUAAACAACGUUUAUUCAAGGCAUCAACUAAAACUUGUAAAUUUGCUCAUAAGAGCAGAGCAACUUGGCUUUUAUUUUGGAGUUUGUAGAACAUGCUGUGUUUAUAAUUUCGAUGGAGAAAAAACGUCUCCAAAGUUGAGGAACUAUAUGUCUGAAGCGAUCUGUCUGAAAACUGAAAAUUAAGACAAACAUUAAGCUCCCUUUCUGUGGAUUCCUUAAGAGCGGUUUUCCUGUAGAAUCAAUCCUGAUUCAUGAGCUAAAAAUAUUCAGGACGAGUUCAAGCAGGUGAAAAGAACUGCACAGCAAGGAAGCAAGGAGAAUCUCUUUGGAAGCCUGAACUCUUUGGUAUCUUGGAAUAUUUAGAAUCAACUUUUCUCACUAGGCAACACAGUUGCAAAUCCAUACUUCCUGCUUGCAAAUUAAUGAAUUUUUUCUUGCUGCUCCUUUCUUAUCAAAUCAUCUGUCAUUGAGUAAUCAAGGGAAUUUGGUUCAUGUACACAAAUGUGCAUAUGCAUAUGCCUCAAUAAAUCUUAUAUUAUGUGAAAUAAGUUACAAAUUGUCGAUAUCUAUUAUACUUUAACUAUACCUAAUAAAUUAGAAGGAACGGUGUGACUUAAGUAUCACUAACUUGUAAGAAGCAAUUUGGUUUUAUAUUUGCAUGCGGUUUUUAUUUUAGCAUUUCGUGCAAGAAAACGUAAUAAUAAAAUGAAAUAAUUCAAAUAGGGUAGCUGUGAGGAUAAUCCCUAAUAGUAAUUCAAUUAUGGACUCAUGCGGCAGUUCUUCUCUCAUUUGCAUAAUGGUAGAGGGACCUCAUGUUUCACUAUGGCAUCGUCCAUGCCAGUUGUCAGGGCAUCAUUGCUGAUGACAGCAAUUGAUUUGAGCAUUCAACUGUUCAAGAUUUUUGUAAGUUUAUAUACUCAGGUAAAUGUCAUUAUUUAUGGGCAAUAGUUGACUGCUUGCUUGUAUUUAUUUCAUAGUUAGGUUAAAAGUCUCUUCUCUUUUUGUUUGAUAAUCUUGCUCUUCCAUGGGGUGAUGGCAUAUGGGAACACGAUACCUAUGUUUAGGGAGGUAGAAAGUUUGAGGAGAUUAAAGAGAAGGACAGUGUUAUAUAUUUUUUAAGGGAUUUAUUAGACGAGUCUCAUAUCUUCAGAUCCUUCUAAUAUCCUCUGCCUAAAAUAAAGGAGUGGCUUUUGAAACCAGGGUACCAGCGGGAAGAGUAGGCUAGAAUAAUGGCCAUAUAGGAAAAAACGACUUUUACCUAACUUACUCUUCCACUUGUAACUUCUUUAAGUAGGUCAAACCACUGAUGAUUCUUAUAAAGGAUAAUUAAUCUCAAGAUAUUUUGGAUAGAUAUACCUUAAACACUGCAUAUGCCUUGGCAGAUUAAUUAUAUGUAAAGAAAGCAACUUUCCCAUUUAAUAUUUAAUCAUUUUGCGUUUCUUUAUUCUAUUUGGGUUCUCUAUUGUUUUCAUCUACAAUAAUAUAAUGUCUAAAAUGUUUCGUUGUCAAAAUAUUUUGUUUGUCUGUCAUAUUUAUGAAUCUUUUAAUUCCCACUAUCACCCUAGAAGAAAGGAACUUGCUUCUUAUGACAAAAAUUGAGAGUGAUGGAACUUUUCUGUAUUCAUUUGCUUUGCUUAUUUUUUCUGCCAUCGGUUCUUUCUUCUAUCGCAUGCAACUGCCUUGGAAAAAACAUCUUCACUUGAAUUAUAUACAACCCUUUUCCUCUACAUUAUUUUUCAAUUUUAGCCGGAAAUUAAGGAUAGGACUUCCAUAUUGGAGUUACUGGGAUGAAUAUAGACUUCUUGAUAUUGCGGUUCUUUACUGUUGCAGAACCCCCAUGCUUCAACUUCAUCGAAGAAGAAAUAAGGGCAGCAACCUGCAAGAUUUCUUGUAUCUGUAAUUCACUUAUGCUUCCUGGUUGUUAUGACUAUGAAAACUUACUUUAUUGAAUAGAAUAAAGUAGCUCAAUGUUUA